UAAGGAUGGGGCUGUCAUAAUGGGAUCAGCAGCCUUGUCACAGAGGCCAGGGAGCUGUGCAUUUUGUCUACACGGCGUGAGGACACAAAGUCAACAGUUUUGCAGCCCAGAAGAGGGGUCUCACUACGACCUAACCACCCUGGCACCCAGAGCUUGGACUUCUGGCUUCCAAAACGUUUAAUUCACAGGCCUCGUCAUUGAACAUAAGAGGAUAAAGGAACUUUUUUUUCCCACCCAGACACUGGCGACAUCAGAACUCAAUAAAUAUUGAAAGACACUGACCAGCAGGCCUAAGAUACAGUCUCAGAGGCCCAGAUAAUCAUUCGCUCUAGCAGCUGAGCCUGGCAGACACACAGACUGAGUGCGCAAGCUAAGUUACCGGUUCGAGGCAUGUUCCAGGAAUGAGUCUUCUAACAGCAUUGCUGCAACCUCUCUGCUGCUCCCUGACGCCUCUCAACUCAGGCCACCAGAAAAGAACGGUUUAAUCUUUUUUGUUUCUGUUUAACCUUUUUUGUUUCUGUUUUUCACAUAUGCAUGUUCUAGUUGAUUAGCAGGAUGAUAGAAAGUAUCUGUGAUAUGCUCAGCUGGGCUGGGAAGAUAAUAAACCUCAUCUUCUUGGGCCUUCAGAACUGAAGAGCUUCAUUGCUCUCAACCCAGAAGCACAUCCUGCCAUUGGAAGAUUUGAAGAUGCAUGUGAAAAAAAAAAAAAAUUUUUUAGGCUUUGUUUCCCAGGCAACUGCUCUCAAUUCAAGAUUGAAUGCAAGCAAGAGGAUCCCCCAGAGGCACUUCUGUCCCCCACUUCCUCUCAUCCCCUUUAUCGCAAUAAAGCUGUAAACUCUGAGGACCCAGGAUGCCACCUUCCUUUGGAGAACAAAAGGAGGAGAUGCAAGGGAUGGUUCAGCAGUGAUGCUGAAUUCACUAGGAUGAAAUGCCUGCUGGAGGGCAAUAGAUUGUAGAAACACCGUGUCAGAUCGACAGGGAAGAGGCACAAGUUGACCCACAUGUUGGCAGGCCAGAGACGAUGGAACAGCAGCCAUUCUGUCAUUUGUCAUUUGUCUUGACCUUGAAGCAGCAGUUCAUCUCAGUUGAUAACAGGCCAGGAAAGCUGGCCUUUUCAGACCCACAAAGUAAAGCCUUGGUGUCGGAAUGACACCUAAGUUGCCACCAGGGUUGCUUUAGCACGGCACGAGCCGUAGGUGUCUACUGUUGAAAUCUCCUGCCAUUUGCAUUGUAAGGAGCCUGAAAUCACCAGGGAUUUUGAAAUCACCUUGGCAGUCAGUACCGACUUGGAGAUUUUCCAAUAGUCUCAGGACCUGUUAAAUGUAUGUGAUACCCACAUACCAACUAUGAAAACACGCUUUGUCCUUGCAGUUAGAAGGUAGGGGCCACUCCUCCCUGGAAGGCAUGCCUCUUACCAGAAUCCUCCCCUCAGCUUUCUGAAGUGAGGCUGAGUCUGGGGAGGGGACGUGGGGAGGAACACACUUUAAAUGUGUUAUGUCAAGAUUUUUCUUUCUCAGUGUGCUCGUGGCACUGGCCUUCCGAUACAUAGCACAAGGAUCGUGUGCACAAUUUGACGUUCGAAAAUAAAAGUAGCUGUUGAAUCGCUAGGUGUUGGACAUUUUCUAGAAUGCCAGUACUCUCUUGGUGUUUAUUCUAUCCAAGGGACAACUAAUUUCACAGAAUCUCCAGUAGAAAAACAUCACAGCAAGCAAAGAGAGAAAACAAGAGGACAAAGAAUGAACAGGACAGAAAUGGGAUAAAAAAUACAAACCACGAACAAAUCAAAGAGGAAGAGAUGGAAGGGUGAAAAAGAGAGCGAAUAUAAAGCUGCCUCCGAAAUCUGCAAGAGCAUGAUCCCCUAUUUGUAUAAGACAGAGUUAAAAGAAACAGAACAGUUAUCCGGAUGAUGAUAUAUACUACAAAUGCCAAAGAUUAAAAACUGCCUGAUUUCACAUACUCUUGACUUUCCGUUCCAGCAUGUUGCUGGAAGUUCCCAGGCACAUGUGUCUGUGAGCAAUCCCAGCAUUCGACGAUGCAAUAUAAGAAGCUCAGGAUUUUAUAUCUGGUAGGGGUCUUGGAAAGGAUUUAGUUCAAACCCCUCAGGAUGUAGAUAAAGAAAGUAAGAAAUGCUUCCCAGACUCGGAAAUCUGUUCCCUUCGUUCCAACUCAAGUAGAACAGAUGAGGAGUAAUGGUAAUGGGAUGAGGCACACGGUAGGGGCGUUGGUGACUAUGAGUGAGGCCAGUGUGGGCUCAGCAAGCUAUUAUCUUUGCAGAGCCGGCAGUUGGAGCGGUGCUGCUCUCUGGACCAUCAGCCUCAAAUUGAAAACCAUGCGUCUUUCACAGGAGCCAUCCUACUUUUGGAAAUUCAGUGUCAGAUGGGACAAUCGCACCAGAUUCCGGAGCAAGCUUUCUUCUAAGAACUUAAGUCAUCCCUUUAUGAAACAACCUAAUCUAAAAUGCGUUGGAAAUUAUUUGAGUCUGGAUUCAAAAACGUCAGGCUUUUUAUUUAUAAAGAGACUAUUUUAAGAUAGGACCCAAAUAUUUUUUUCCUAUAAAUCUGUUUGAACUGUUUUUGAGACCAUUAGCCAGUUUUCAAAGAAUUUCCCCGUUUAGCAAAGGGAAGGUUUGAAAUAUUUUCAAAACUGCAGAGUUAGGGGCAGCCUGGGUGGCUCAGCGGUUUAGUGCCGCCUUCAACCCGAGGCCUGAUCCUGGGGACCCCGGAU